rnacentral:rRNA from 1 species
UAGGGAAUCUUCGGCAAUGGGGGGAACCCUGACCGAGCAACGCCGCGUGAGUGAAGAAGGUUUUCGGAUCGUAAAGCUCUGUUGUUAAGGAAGAACGAGUGUGAGAAUGGAAAGUUCAUACUGUGACGGUACUUAACCAGAAAGGGACGGCUAACUACGUGCCAGCAGCCGCGGUAAUACGUAGGUCCCGAGCGUUGUCCGGAUUUAUUGGGCGUAAAGCGAGCGCAGGCGGUUAGAUAAGUCUGAAGUUAAAGGCAGUGGCUCAACCAUUGUAGGCUUUGGAAACUGUUUAACUUGAGUGCAGAAGGGGAGAGUGGAAUUCCAUGUGUAGCGGUGAAAUGCGUAGAUAUAUGGAGGAACACAGGUGGCGAAAGCGGCUCUCUGGUCUGUAACUGACGCUGAGGCUCGAAAGCGUGGGGAGCGAACAGG